GACAGAGGGUGCAAACGUUGUUCGGAUUUACUGGGCGUAAAGCGCGUGUAGGCGGCUUUGCAAGUCGGAUGUGAAAGCCCACGGCUCAACCGUGGAAGUGCAUCCGAAACUGCAUGACUGGAGUCUCGGAGAGGAAGGUGGAAUGCUUGGUGUAGAGGUGAAAUUCGUAGAUAUCAAGCAGAACACCUGCGGCGAAGGCGGCCUUCUGGACGAUGACUGACGCUGAGACGCGAAAGCGUGGGGAGCAAACAGG
rnacentral:rRNA from 1 species